rnacentral:rRNA from 1 species
GUGAGGAAUAUUGGACAAUGGGCGCAAGCCUGAUCCAGCCAUGCCGCGUGCAGGAAGACGCAUCUAUGGUGUGUAAACUGCUUUUGUACGGGAAGAAACACUCCCUCGUGAGGGAGCUUGACGGUACCGUAAGAAUAAGGAUCGGCUAACUCCGUGCCAGCAGCCGCGGUAAUACGGAGGAUCCAAGCGUUAUCCGGAAUCAUUGGGUUUAACGGGUCCGUAGGCGGUUUAAUAAGUCAGUGGUGAAAGCCCAUCGCUCAACGAUGGAACGGCCAUUGAUACUGUUAGACUUGAAGUACAAGGAAGUAACUAGAAUAUGUAGUGUAGCGGUGAAAUGCUUAGAUAUUACAUGGAAUACCAAUUGCGAAGGCAGGUUACUACUUGUGGAUUGACGCUGAUGGACGAAAGCGUGGGGAGCGAACAGGAUUAGAAACCCCUGUAGUCC